AACUUUCAGCAACGGAUCUCUUGGCUCUCGCAUCGAUGAAGAACGCAGCGAAAUGCGAUAAGUAAUGUGAAUUGCAGAAUUCAGUGAAUCAUCGAAUCUUUGAACGCACCUUGCGCUCCUUGGUAUUCCGAGGAGCAUGCCUGUUUGAGUGUCAUGGUAU
rnacentral:rRNA from 1 species